AAGUUACUAAGGGCGCAUGGCGGAUGCCUUGGCUCUCAGAGGCGAUGAAGGACGUGACAAGCUGCGAUAAGCUUCGGGGAGGUGCAAAUAACCUCUGAUCCGGAGAUUUCCGAAUGGGGCAACCCGGCUGGUUGAAGGCCAGUCAUCCCGAUCUUGUAUCGGGAAGCGAACGCGGGGAACUGAAACAUCUAAGUACCCGUAGGAGAAGAAAACAAUAGUGAUUCCGCAAGUAGUGGCGAGCGAACGCGGAAAAGCCCAAACCAACAGGGUUACGGCCUUGUUGGGGUUGUAGGACCUGCCACAGGGACUUCAAAUUGAUAACAGAACACUUCUGGAAAGUUGGACCGUAGAAGGUGAAAGUCCUGUACGUGAAAUUGAUUUGAUACCUGGCGGGUAUCCUGAGUAGGGCGGGACCGGUGAAAUCCUGUCUGAAUCUACCGGCACCAUCCGGUAAGGCUAAAUACUCCUGAGAGACCGAUAGUGGACAAGUACCGUGAGGGAAAGGUGAAAAGCACUCCGAACAGGAGGGUGAAACAGAACCUGAAACCAUGCGCUUACAAGCGGUCGGAGCCCCGAUACCUCGGGGUGACGGCGUGCCUUUUGCAUAAUGAGCCUACGAGUUACUCCUCAUUGGCAAGGUUAAGUAUCGUCAAGGUACGUAGCCGGAGCGAAAGCGAGUCUGAACAGGGCGACCAUAAGUCAGUGGGGGUAGACGCGAAACUUGGUGAUCUACCCAUGGCCAGGUUGAAGUUGCGGUAACACGCAAUGGAGGACCGAACCAGUUGACGUUGAAAAGUCAUUGGAUGAGCUGUGGGUAGGGGUGAAAGGCCAAUCAAACCAAGAGAUAGCUCGUACUCCCCGAAAUGCUUUUAGGAGCAGCGUUGUUUAAUAGUGUCAUAGAGGUAGAGCUACUGAUUGGGCUAGGGGGCUUCACCGCCUACCAAACCCUGACAAACUCCGAAUGCUAUGACAUGUUUUUCAGCAGUGAGGGCGCGGGUGCUAAGGUCCGUGUCCGAAAGGGAAAGAACCCAGACUACCAGCUAAGGUCCCCAAAUAUAUGCUAAGUUGAACUAACGAGGUCCGGUUGCACAGACAGCUAGGAUGUUGGCUUGGAAGCAGCCAUUCAUUUAAAGAGUGCGUAACAGCUCACUAGUCGAGCGAUCGGGCAUGGAUGAUAAUCGGGCAUAAAGCAUAUUACCGAAGCUGUAGUCCCGACUUUACGUCGGGAGGUAGGGGAGCAUUCCUGUUUGCAUCGAAGGUGGGCCGUAAGGUUUGCUGGAGUGGCAGGAAAAGCAAAUGUAGGCAUAAGUAACGAUAAUGCGGGUGGGAAACCCGCACACCGAAAGACUAAGGUUUCCUGAUCAACGCUAAUCGGAUCAGGGUUAGUCGGGUCCUAAGGCGAACCCGAAGGGGGCAGUCGAUGGACAACUGGUUAAUAUUCCAGUACCAGCUUAUACUGCGAUGGGAUGACGGAGAAGUGAAAGGCCCGCGUGCUGACGGAAUAGCACGUUGAACACUGUAGGUAUAGGAUGUGCAGGCAAAUCCGCACACCCUGCUGAAGGUGGAUAGUACCACAAGGCUCCGGCUGAGUGGAUAGUGGCCCUAAUCAGGCUUCCAAGAAAAACCCCUAAGCGUCAGGUAUAAGCUGCCCGUACCGUAAACCGACACAGGUAGUCGAGGAGAGAAUCCAAAGGUGCUCGAGUGAUCCAUAGCUAAGGAACUAGGCAAAAUGACCCCGUAACUUCGGGAGAAGGGGUGCCAUCCCCCUUUAAUCUUCCCCUCGGGGGGGACAAAGGGGGGGUGGCCGCAGUGAAAUGACCCAGGCGACUGUUUAUCAAAAACACAUGGCUUUGCUAAAUUUAAAGAUGAUGUAUAAGGCCUGACACCUGCCCGGUGCCGGAAGGUUAAGAGGAGGGCUCAUCCAGGAGGCGCAAGCCACCUGGAGAAGGUCUGAAUUGAAGCCCCGGUAAACGGCGGCCGUAACUAUAACGGUCCUAAGGUAGCGAAAUUCCUUGUCGGGUAAGUUCCGACCUGCACGAAUGGUGUAACGAUCUGGGCGCUGUCUCGACGCGAGACUCGGUGAAAUUGAAGUAUCGGUGAAGAUGCCGAUUACCCAUGGUUAGACGGAAAGACCCCGUGAACCUUUACUGCAGCUUGGCAUUGGAACCUGGGCUAUGAUGUGUAGGAUAGGUGGGAAGCUAUGAAGCGUGGUCGUUAGGCUGCGUGGAGCUGAACAGUGAAAUACCACCCUUUAUAGUUUAGGUUUCUAACGCUGGCCUUAUAUCAGGUUAGUGGACAAUGUCAGGUGGGCGGUUUGACUGGGGCGGUCACCUCCUAAAGAGUAACGGAGGUGUGCGAAGGUCUCCUCGCGCUGGUUGGAAAUCAGCGUUACGAGUGCAAAGGCAAAAGGGGGCCUGACUGCGAGACUGACAAGUCGAGCAGGUGCGAAAGCAGGUCUUAGUGAUCUGGCGGUGGCGAGUGGAAGCGCCGUCACUUAACGGACAAAAGGUACUCCGGGGAUAACAGGCUUAUCUUGCCCAAGAGUUCACAUCGACGGCAAGGUUUGGCACCUCGAUGUCGGCUCAUCGCAUCCUGGGGCUGAAGCAGGUCCCAAGGGUUUGGCUGUUCGCCAAUUAAAGCGGUACGUGAGCUGGGUUCAGAACGUCGCGAGACAGUUCGGUCCCUAUCUGCCACAGGCGCUGGAUGUUUGAGAGGAGCUGUUCUUAGUACGAGAGGACCGGAAUGGACGAACCUCUGGUGUACCAGUUAUCCUGCCAAGGGUAAGUGCUGGGUAGCCAUGUUCGGAAGGGAUAACCGCUGAAAGCAUCUAAGUGGGAAGCCCCCCUCGAGAUGAGACAUCCCAUCUGCUUUAAGCAGACUGAAGGAACCAGAGAGAAUAUCUGGUUGAUAGGCUGGCGGUCUACGCAUGGUAACAUGUUCAGCCGACCAGUACUAAGUAUCCGUGAGGCUUGACC
rnacentral:rRNA from 1 species